CUUGACUGCUUCCAUGCUGACUCUGUUCUCUCCUGCCACGUGCAUUCAAGCACAGUGAACCUCCUUUUCUUCUGAUUCCUUCCCAUGUGCUUCUAUGAAAGUAUUACCAACACUGAAUACCUGGAGCAUGCAUGGCACCACAGGUUUAUCUCAUCUCAAUGUGAGGAGCCAGCCUUCAGAUUCCUGUUAUCAAUUAAACAUUGGCUGGGGAUGUAUGCCAAAGGGAGAGUGCACUAUUCUCCCAGGUAUUUUCCUAUAUGCUGAGGACUGUUCUCAGAGGAAGGACGCAUCUGGGGACUAUUAGCAGCCAAUGCUCACAGCUCCUGGAGGAUGGACAUAACUGCCUGGUCUCUGGUACCCGAACACCUUCAGCUGCCAAUGGCACACCCUGCUUCAACUGUUGCCAAUAAACAUCCUUGGAUCAUCUCCAUGAUUCCCUGAGGUCCAUGAGGUCCUUCUCAUGGAAAAGUUUCUGCCUGAUGCUGCAGAUCCCCCAGGGAAAGCUGGACACCUUCCUUUGCCUUUUUCUGACUGCACACACUUU